GACCCCAUAGUUCAAUGGAUAGAAUACUUCCGUCCUAAGGAAUAGAUCUGCGUUCGAGUCGCGGUGGGGUUACCA
rnacentral:tRNA from 1 species